rnacentral:rRNA from 1 species
AACGAACGUUAGCGGCGCGCCUAACACAUGCAAGUCGAACGCGACAGGGGCAACUCUGUUGAGUGGCGCACGGGUGAGUAACACGUAGGUAAUCUCCCCCCGAGUGGUGGAUAACCUUCCGAAAGGAGGGCUAAUACAGCAUAAGACCACGGCUUCGAAAGGAGCUGAGGUCAAAGCGGAGGAUCGCAAGACUUCGCGCUUGGGGAUGAGCCUGCGGCCCAUCAGGUAGUUGGCGGGGUAACAGCCCACCAAGCCUAAGACGGGUAGCUGGUCUGAGAGGAUGAGCAGCCACACUGGAACUGAGACACGGUCCAGACUCCUACGGGAGGCAGCAGUGGGGAAUCUUGCGCAAUGGACGAAAGUCUGAUGCAGCGACGCCGCGUGGGUGAUGAAGGCCUUCGGGUUGUAAAGCCCUGUGGGGAGGGACGAAUAAGUUUCAGCUAAUACCUGAAGCGAUGACGGUACCUCCUUAGCAAGCACCGGCUAACUCUGUGCCAGCCGCCGCGGUAA